rnacentral:rRNA from 1 species
AUUGAACGCUGGCGGCGUGCUUAACACAUGCAAGUCGAACGGUAACAGGUUCUACGCAAGUAGAAUGCUGACGAGUGGCGGACGGGUGAGUAAUGCGUAGGAAUCUACCUUAUAGUGGGGGAUAACUUGAGGAAACUCAAGCUAAUACCGCAUAUUCCUUAAGAGGGAAAGCAGGGGACCGCAAGGCCUUGCGCUGUAAGAUGAGCCUGCGUCAGAUUAGCUUGUUGGUGGGGUAAUGGCCUACCAAGGCAACGAUCUGUAGCUGGUCUGAGAGGAUGAUCAGCCACACUGGGACUGAGACACGGCCCAGACUCCUACGGGAGGCAGCAGUGGGGAAUAUUGGACAAUGGGCGCAAGCCUGAUCCAGCAACGCCGCGUGUGUGAAGAAGGCCUUCGGGUUGUAAAGCACUUUCGUCGAGGAGGAAGGGUUUAUAGCGAAUACCUAUAAACUUUGACGUUACUCGAAUAAGAAGCACUGGCUAACUCUGUGCCAGCCGCCGCAGUAA